rnacentral:rRNA from 1 species
UACGUAGGUGGCAAGCGUUGUCCGGAUUUACUGGGUGUAAAGGGCGUGUAGCCGGGUUGACAAGUCAGAUGUGAAAUCCUGCGGCUUAACCGCAGAACUGCAUUUGAAACUGUUGAUCUUGAGUACUGGAGAGGCAGACGGAAUUCCUAGUGUAGCGGUGAAAUGCGUAGAUAUUAGGAGGAACACCAGUGGCGAAGGCGGCUUACUGGACUGUAACUGACGUUGAGGCUCGAAAGCGUGGGGAGCGAACAGG